CUUUGCCACCAGCUGGAAUGCAUCAGGCACAUCAUGACUGCUUCAGAAAAUAUUGCUUUGACUGAAGAAAACUGCAGGAACAGACCUAUGUCAAAUGAUUCUGCCCUGUAGCCUCUACUGAUGACUGUGCUCCACUGCAGCCUGCCUUAUUCAGCAUCUCCUCCUUCAGCUACCUGCCUGCCUGAGAUCACCCAGCAGGUGCGCGACCUCCUAGACUGCGUGACAACAGACUCAGUAAGGAAGGUAGCUACACAGGUGCCCUUGAAACACCCCUACAACCUGCCCCACCCCGUUCUCAAACCUCCUGAUUGGCCAGUCCUUAGACCAACUCUGCAGAGGCAUAGGUUCUCAUGAAGGGUAGUUUUCUGAGCUCCCAACUUUGAACAUAU
rnacentral:lncRNA from 1 species